rnacentral:tRNA from 2 species
GGUGAGGUGCGUGAGCCUGGCUGAAACGGACGGUUUGCUAAACCGUUGUAGGGCGAUAAGCUCUACCGUGGGUUCGAAUCCCACCCUCACCGCCA